AGAACGAACGCUGGCGGCAUGCCUAAUACAUGCAAGUCGAACGAACACUUCGGUGUUAGUGGCGCACGGGUGCGUAACGCGUGGGAAUCUGCCCUUGGGUUCGGAAUAACAGUUGGAAACGACUGCUAAUACCGGAUGAUGACGAAAGUCCAAAGAUUUAUCGCCCAGGGAUGAGCCCGCGUAGGAUUAGCUAGUUGGUGAGGUAAAGGCUCACCAAGGCGACGAUCCUUAGCUGGUCUGAGAGGAUGAUCAGCCACACUGGGACUGAGACACGGCCCAGACUCCGUACGGGAGCAGCAGUAGGGAAUAGUGGACAAGUGGGCGCAAGCCUGAUCCAGCAAUCGCCGCGUGAGUGAGUGAAGGUCCGUUAGGGGUUGUAAAGGUCUUACGUUUUACCCGAGUAC
rnacentral:rRNA from 1 species